AAUAUUGCACUAUUGGUGAAACCCUGAUGCAGCGACGCCGCGUGAGUGAAGAAGUAUUUCGGUAUGUAAUGCUCUAUCAGCAUGUAAGUAAAUGACGGUUCCUGACUAAAAAGCCCCGGCUAACUACGUGCCAGCAGCCGCGGUAAUACGUAGGGGGCAAGCGUUUUCCGGAUUUACUGGGUGUAAAGGGAGCGUAGGUGGUUUGGUAAGUAAGAUGUGAAAGCCAGGAGCUCAACCGCGGGACUGCAUUUGAAACUAUCAAACUAGAGUGCAGGAGAGGUAAGUGGAAUUCCUAGUGUAGAGGUGAAAUGCGUAGAUAUUAGGAGGAACACCAGUGGCGAAGGCGGCUUACUGGACUGUAACUGACACUGAGGCUCGAAAGCGUGGGGAGCAAACAG
rnacentral:rRNA from 1 species